rnacentral:lncRNA from 1 species
CCAUGUGAGCCAGUAGGACUACAAGUCUACAAGGAUCUACAGUACUGACAUGGCACAGUCUACGUAAGGUAUAAAUCUGUGAGCUGAGAAUGUACAUCACCCCUUGAUCAUUUCUGAAAUGAGAUGUUUCUCAGUGGAUUGAUCUGUGAGCUGAGAGUGUACCGAUUCUCUUCUGCACUAAUCUGAAUUACAUGUGUCUAAUUGGUUAACUGUUGUCCAGGUGAUUUCCAUGAUUUUCAUAUGGAUAUAAGCUUGUGAUUGUUCUUAUUUCCCAGACUAGACCUGACUGUGAGUAUAAGACUUUCUUAUUUCCUCGGUUUGCUAAUCAUGCAGGGGGUGCCUCAGUUUGGUCUGCCGUAGGCCUUCAUCGCUAUUUUGAAUCACAUGCUCCUUUUAGUCGGAGGUGAGGUGCUCAGAUUUGGAAAAUUGGUUACUCUUGUUUUGUUCACUUCCUAACUUGCAAUGAACAAAACAGUCUCUGCAAUAUUUUGUUUUUGUUAUCUUCAUUAUAUGAGCACAAAUAUGUCUAUCAUAAGAUAUGCUAGAGUUGACAACCGGAACUAGCCACUUAAGCAUUAACAUUGUAUAGGCAGUAUAUACAUUAAAACAAUCAAUGGCGGUGCUAAUUUCGGCUUUUUUUAUUUCUGGAGUCAAGAAAUAAACUUUAUUUAAAAUGUUUAUAUAUUCAUCUGAAUUGGAAACAAUCUUGCUGCACCAUUGAAGUUAUCUAAUGAGGGAUACUUCUUUUCUAUUUUAGCGUAUCAAUGGCCCCAGGAACUCGAGUGAGGAACACAUCAUGCCCCUUCAAACUGACAUAUCAAUAUUAUCAUCAUGUAUCGAAGAUACUAGGCACCAUAUGACUUUCUGAUAUAUGUAUAUUCUUAUGCUUAGAAGUUUCCCACUUUAAAAUUAGAUUUAACUCACCAUAUAUAAUGCACUCAAUCCAAUCGAAAAGAUCAAGUAGCAAUUUUCCCAAAACAAUUGUGUUUACACUUGUUCUCCUACUGUUUAG